CUCAUGGAGCUUAGGUGUUUUUGCUCAAUAAACAUUCACAAUGCCUGGUCUGGGAAUUGAAACCGCGUUCUUACGACUGCGAGUCUGCUGCCCUAACCACCGGGCCAUUGCGCCUCCAAAACAUCAGUGUUGUCUUCAGUGACUGUUUCUUAUGUUGAAAGUCUUCAAUUUUCUCCUCACUGAGUGUUUCUACCUCCAGGUUCAGUCCAUUGUACGAAUCAAAUGGAAUGAAUAUGGUAAAGAAGAGCUGGCACGAGUAACAACAACAGUAACAAUACUGACAAUAAUGACAACAACAAGAAGAAUGAUAUUGACAACAACAACUACUGCAAAGUAUAAGGACAGUAAUAAUAAAAGAAUAAAGCACUAAGAACAAAGCAAGAAGAAUAAGGCAAUAAAGGAACAGCAACAAUAUGACAGCAACAACAACAGAAACGAUAAGGCAGUAAUGACAACAAUAAUGGCAAUAACAGCAACAGUAAUAACAAGUGUAAUAAUUAGAACAAUAACAACAACAAUAACAAUAGCAAUAAUGGAAUAAUAGUAGCAGCAAAAACAAGAAAAAACAAGAGUAAGGCAAUGACAACAGCAAAGAAGCAAUAACUGCAAGGAAAACGAGAAUAUGAUAACGAAAUAACAACAACAAUAAGACAGAAGUGAUGUAAUUGAGAUAAUAACAAUAAAGACAGCAAUAGUCUGAAAAAAUAAGAAUGGCAAUCAAUAUUUGAUAUAAUACAACAGCAAUGACAACACCAACAACUACAACAACAAUGGAGCAAUAACUAUAACAACAACAGCACCGGUAGAGUAAUGAUAUAACAACAGCAACAAAAGAGAAAUAACUAUAGCAACAAUAGCAACAACCAUGGCAACAAUAGCAACAGAGCAAUAACUAUAGCAACAUCAAAGCAACAACUACAUCAGCAAUAGCAACAACUGUGGCAACAACAGCACAACAGAGCAAUGACUAUAGCAACAAUUGCAACAACAGAGCAAUAAACAUAGCAACAACAGCAACA